CCUAGUAACUGCGAGUGAAGUGGGAAAAGCUCAAAUUUAAAAUCUGGUGGCCUUUGGCCAUCCGAGUUGUAAUUUAGAGAAGCGUCUUCCGCGCUGGACCGUGCACAAGUCUCCUGGAAUGGAGCGUCAUAGAGGGUGAGAAUCCCGUCUUUGGCACGGACUCCCGGUGCUUUGCGAUGCGCUCUCGACGAGUCGAGUUGUUUGGGAAUGCAGCUCAAAAUGGGUGGUGAACUCCAUCUAAAGCUAAAUAUUGGCGAGAGACCGAUAGCGAACAAGUACCGUGAGGGAAAGAUGAAAAGCACUUUGGAAAGAGAGUGAAACAGUACGUGAAAUUGUUGAAAGGGAAACGCUUGAAGUCAGUCGCGUUGACCGAGACUCAGCCUUGUCUUGGCUUGGUGUGCUUCUCGGCUCGACGGGUCAGCAUCAAUUUUGAUCUUUAGAUAAUGGCAAGGGAAAGGUGGCACCUUUUUAGGUGUGUUAUAGUCCCGUGUCGGAUGCAAGGGUCAGGAUUGAGGAACUCAGCAUGCACCUUUGGGUGUCGGGGUCUUUGCCCACGUUAUGUGCUUAGGAUGCUGGCGUAAUGGCUUUAAACGACCCGUCUUGAAACACGGACCAAGGAGUCUAACAUGCACGCGAGUGUUCGGGUGGAAAACCCGUGCGCGUAAUGAAAGUAAAAGUUGGGACCUCUGUC
rnacentral:rRNA from 1 species